rnacentral:rRNA from 1 species
CGGAUUGAAGGCUGAAAUUCGCCUUCAUGAAGCCGGAAUUGCUAGUAAUGGCAGGUCAGCAUACUGCCGUGAAUACGUUCCCGGGCCUUGUACACACCGCCCGUCACACCAUGAGAGUUGGGAAUACCCGAAGCCUGUGAGCUAACGUUAAGAGGCAGCAGUCGAAGGUAGAAUCAAUGAUUGGGGUGAAGUCGUAACAAGGUAGC